UGUUAUUUAAAGGUUUCACCUUUUUCCCCUAUUCAUAAGCUAUUAUUUAUUUAUAUACACCAUAAAUUAGACAAAUAUAAUAGAAUAUUUUAAAAAACUAUAUAUAAAUUAUAUAUACAAAGGUAAUGCUAACUUUUAUGAACAUUUAAAUGUCAUUAACUGUUUCCAAUAUGAAUCUGUACAAAUAUAUAUAAGUUGAAGCAUUCAUAAGCAACUCCUGUAAGCUAAGCGGGACCAUUUCAGGAUUUUUGUAAAUUUUCAAAAGCUCAUCCGACAACACAAGGCGCUGAAUGUUGAAAGACGAACACUCAAAAAAGAUGUGAUGUAGUGUUUGAACCUUUUGCAAUUGACAAUAAUCACAAUAUGCUGAGCUGACCAUUUUGAGACGAUAAAGAACCAAGGUAGAGUAUUAACUUGGACAUCGAGAGUAUUAAACCAUGAACCCACAUUUUCAUUAUGCACACAAUUAUAUGAAUGUCUCCCCCACGCUUCACACAUGCGUUGCCUUAAGAGACUAACUACAUCUGUGUAAGUGCACUCAAGAUUGCAACAGCUUCAGCUGUAAAAAUACUGGCAUUUUUGUCAAUUUUCAUGCCUAUACCAAUAUUUGAAGUAGGCUCAUAAAUAGCAAAAGAAGCCGCUCUAUCAUUCUUGGAACCAUCAGUAUAUACAAAUUUGUGAUCUGACCACUCUGACAACAUAUUAUACACAUCCUCUUUAGAAGACAAUUCUUUUCUCUUCUUUAUAAUGACAGUUAUAGCUGGAAAUUUACUACUAAAUGAACCUUCAUAACAAGGCAGGAUAUGUUUUGAUUGAUGAAUGUUAAUAUUUUCAAUAAAAGCUUUAAAUUUUUUAAGACUUUGUAAUAUAUAAAAAGGUUUUAAAGUAGUAUGUGUAGCUAAAUGUACAAGAUUGUUUAAAAGACUAUUACCAGAAACACUAUAAAGCUUCAGAAAGAAUCUUUCCAAUAAGAAAUCAAAACGAAUAGCUAGAGGUGCAACAUUACAUUCAAUCUGCAAAGCGUUCACAGGAGUACUUCUGAAUGCCCCAGUAAUAACCCGCAAACAUUUGUUUUGCAAAAUAUUUAAACUAUUUACAUGUUUUGAAUCUGCAGCAAAGCAAUAAAAACCAUAUUCAAAGUGACUACGUACUAAAGAUUUAUAUAACAAUAAUAAUAUUUUUGGGUCUGCUCCCCAGUAAGUUCCACUCAAGGAUUUUAAAACAUUAAAACCUCUAUUUGCUUUGGCAACAAUAUUCCUAAUGUAAUUACUCCAGGACAAAUUGUGUGUAAAUAUAACUCCCAAAAAUCUAACUUCAAGAGAGCUGGGUAAUGCACAAUUAUGAUACAACACAGCGGGUAAAUUAUGAUUCCGCUUGCCGAAAACGACUACUUUGGACUUUAAUGGAUUGAUAGUGAGAUCAAGGUAAGAGAAGUAAUUGUGCAAAUGUGUUAAUGCAACAUUGACUGUCUCAACUACUUGCGAAAUGUUCUUCCCAGAUGAAUAAACCACAAGAUCAUCUGCAAACUGUAGAUUUUUAACUUGAGCCCCUAAAAUUAAAUUUAAUCUAUGUAUAUACAAUAUAAAUAUUAAAGGUGACAAUAUUCCACCUUGACAAACUCCCUUAGCCGAUAGUCUAGGACCAUAAAGGUGCCUAUUAAAUUUUACGAAUACUUCCCUAUUAUUAAGGAAAUUUGAUAGCCAAUUAAUGAUUUUUCCCGGAAUCCCUAUCUGUGAUAACUCAUCACAUAGAAUAUCUAUAUUCACACUAUUAAAUGCACCUGCAACAUCAAAGAACACUCCAACCAGAUUUUCAUUUGCUGUUAUGGAUUUAUAAAUAUCAAGCUGCAGUUGACAAAUACUUUCACGAGCGGAACGAUUCCUACGAAAACCAAAUUGAUUUGAUGGGAUGUGAUAACUGCUACCAAGAGGACAAUCAUGUACGUUCCAUUCACAAUUCAGCGCUAAAGAUGAUGAAACUAAUGUCAAA
rnacentral:lncRNA from 1 species